GGGCAUUACCUGCGAGUGCCGGGCGCCUCCUGCUCCGCUGUGCGCGCUUGGGGUGGGACUCGGCGGGGGAGGGGUCGUGUACAUUGUCCCACCAGGCGCAAUGUAGCCGGGCGGCGCAGAGGAUUUCUUUUUUGGUCUUGAGAGCAUAGAGUCCCUUUUCAUAUUCACGUGUACUCUUAAGAAAGCGUCUGUUCUCCAAACUGGCUUUCCAUUCUCCCCGUCCUAAAUGGUGCGUGGCUGACACCGUAGUGUUUUCAAAACUGGAUAUGGCCAGGAUGCUAUAGCAUUGUCAGUAUAGGGGAGUGUAUACAUCACCACACCAGCUGUCCAGGAAUUAGGAGGAAGUGCCCUUGAAUGAAGCCUGGGCUGCAAGCCUGGUUAGCAGCCAGGGAGGACACACACACGUUGCAG
rnacentral:lncRNA from 1 species